rnacentral:rRNA from 1 species
UACGUAGGGUGCGAGCGUUAAUCGGAUUUACUGGGCGUAAAGCGUGCGCAGGCGGCCCGUUAAGACAGGUGUGAAAUCCCUGGGCUCAACCUAGGAAUUGCGCUUGUGACUGGCGGGCUCGAGUACGGUAGAGUGGGGUGGAAUUCCUGGUGUAGCAGUGAAAUGCGUAGAGAUCAGGAGGAACACCGAUGGCGAAGGCAGCCCCCUGGGCCUGUACUGACGCUCAUGCACGAAAGCGUGGGGAGCAAACAGG